rnacentral:tRNA from 1 species
CAAAAAAUAGUUUAUUAGGGAGAAUAUUAAUUUUGGAGAUUAGAGGUGUGAUUUUAUUACUUUUUUGA